ensembl:lncRNA
CCAACUUAAAAUAGAAAAGCAGGUGUCCUACGGCAAAAAGUGCGCAAGGUGAAUCUCCAGGAACAGAAUUGAGCACCCCUGCUGUUUUUACAGGAACAGCUACCACAAAAUAACCUGAAGAUGAGUGUUUUGAUCAGUGAUGUAUCAUGGAUGAUAUUUAGGCAAUUAACCACUUUUAAGCUUACUAGCUUAAAUUACUGACCUUUUAAGCUUACUGGCUUACUAGCGCAUGCCAUUCUUUAUACAUUUUGUGUGUGUGUGUGUGUGUGUGUGUGUGUGUGUGUGUGUGUUUAUGCCACUAAACCCUGCCUUAGAUGGUGGAGAAAAACAAUGCACCAUUUCAGGCCUCUUCUCUUCCUCUCUCUUAUGGGCCAGGCACCACUAAAUGCUGACAUUUCAAAAAGAGGAAGCCCAUACAGUGAAAGCUUACAUGAUAUCGGGAAAGUGAAAUUUGAAAGUUUCGGUUGCGCAGAAAGAAGAAGUUUACCAGCCUCUUACUGGAAAAGACCCCCCCGACUCCACCCCGACUUUAGUUCCACAUAUUUGGCCAAAAAAAAAAAAAAGAAAUUAAAAAUUGGCUGUAUUUACACCACCGGACGGGAAAUAAGAGCAGAUCCUGCAAAAAUAUCUUCUUUCAACAAAGAACAUAAUGGCACAUGCAUUUGGAAGAACGAGAUGAUCCAUUGGCUGGGAUCUCUACGGCGGAAUGCUGCUGGGACCCCCUUCUAAACUCCCCCCAACCCUCCCCUUGAGUGCACCCACCCAUUAGGAAUUCCAGCAGGGCAUUGUGGGUGGGAUGAAUGGGGUCAGAGCCAAGGAAUGAAGUAGGAAGUUUUCACAAGAGUUUAGCCUUUAUUUUGCAUGGCUUUGUUUUGUUUUAUCCGAAGCUUGGAAAAGUGCCCUGACUACUGAUUCAAAUACGGCUAACAAUAUUUAACAUACUUAUAUUUUAUAUGUUUCAGUGUCUUUAUCUAUCUAUCUAUCGUUCUAUCUAUCGUUCUAUCUAUCGUUCUAUCAUUCUAUCUAUCUAUCGUUCUAUCGUUCUAUCUAUCGUUCUAUCAUUCUAUCUAUCUAUCGUUCUAUCAUUCUAUCUAUCGUUCUAUUGUUAUAUCGUUCAUUCUAUCUAACGUUCUAUCCUUCUGUCUGUCUGUCUGUCUGUCUAUCUAUCUGUCCCUCUAUCUAUUGUUCUAUCUAAUGUUCUAUCUGACAUUCUAUCUAUCAUUCUAUCUAUCCUUCUAUCUGUCUGUCUGUCUAUCUAUAUAUCAUUCUAUAGUUCUAUAGUUCUAUCUAUCUUUCUAGCAUUAUAACUCUCGUUAUAUCAUUCAGUUUCUCUGCCAUCUAUCUAUCUAUCUAUCUAUCUAUCUAUCUAUCUGACCAACUAAGACCAGCAAACUAGAUUAAUCUGGUUUAACUUGGACUUGUUGGACAAGUUUAGAGAGAAUUGGUUGCAUUGCUAUCUCCUAGUACUACUACAUAUUAUUUGGGAAAGAGCAUAUCUACUAUGUUAUGGCCUAUUUAAUUGUGUUUGUAACUACAAAGGCCUAGCUCUACACACCCAUUACAAUAGUACAUGUAACUUGAAAAUACAACCUUAAUUUAAUUCUGUAAAUCAUUUUAGGCAUAUCCAAUUCCUAAAUUAGUUUACCUUUAAUAAAGCAGUUUAAGGGAGUUUAUUGGCGCCA